AAGGAUCAUUACCGAGAAAGGACGUCACCGUCCUGUCCCUCACCCGUGUGUACCCAUAUCGUUGCUUUGGCGCGGCUGCCUGGCUUGACCCGGGCCCCGGGCGUGUCCCGGGCGCGCCAUGAGCCCCAUCAAACUCGUAAUGGAAUAUUCUGAGCGACCGAUAAUAACAAAACUUUCAACAACGGAUCUCUUGGCUCCGGCAUCGAUGAAGAACGCAGCGAAAUGCGAUAACUAAUGUGAAUUGCAGAAUUCAGUGAAUCAUCGAGUCUUUGAACGCACAUUGCGCCCCCCGGCACUCCGGGGGGCAUGCCUGUCCGAGCGUCAUUAAACCCCUCGAGCUCGCUCGGUCAUGGGCACCGCCUCCGGGCGGGCCUCAAACUCAGCGGCGGUCGAGACCGGCGUCCAGCGUAGUGGAACCCCGCUGACCCGUCCGGAUCGACCCGCCGGAAUUAUUUUCAAAACAUUGACCUCGGAUCAGGUAGGGAUACCCGCUGAACUUAA
rnacentral:rRNA from 1 species